rnacentral:lncRNA from 1 species
GUUAUGGAAUGCUACUGCCUAAUUCUGCUUGAAACCGAUCCUCACUGUUUAGUCCUAUAUUGUGUGAGACCAAUAUACAAUUGCAGGAAGGAAACGAGGAAGUGGAGCAAGAAGUUACAGGAAAUCCUGAAGAAUUUACUAGCCAAGAAGAACUAUUGGGAUAUUUGGUAAGUGUUACCUAGCAAUGCAAUUUUUGAAAAGCUUUCACAGAAUUACUAAAUUUAAAAUGUAGCAGGUAACAUAAAAGCCAAAAUGUAGACAGUCUGCUAAUCUAACAACACAUAUUAUCUGAGGGUAGCAUUCAAAAUAAAAUUAAUAUCAGUGGGAUGUUGCUGAUUUUU